rnacentral:rRNA from 1 species
UGGGGAAUUUUGGACAAUGGGCGCAAGCCUGAUCCAGCAAUGCCGCGUGCAGGAUGAAGGCCUUCGGGUUGUAAACUGCUUUUGUACGGAGCGAAAAUGUCUGCCCUAAUACGGUGGGCUCAUGACGGUACCGUAAGAAUAAGCACCGGCUAACUACGUGCCAGCAGCCGCGGUAAUACGUAGGGUUCGAGCGUUAAUCGGAAUUACUGUGCGUAAAGCGUGCGCAGGCGGUUAUAUAAGACAGAUGUAAAAUCCCCGGGCUCAACCUGGGACCUGCAUUUGUGACUGUAGAGCUAGAGUACGGUAGAGGGGGAUGGAAUUCAGCGUGUAGGAGUGAAAAGCGGAGAUAUGCAGAGGAACAACGAUGGCGGAGGCAAUCCCCUGGGCCUGUAAUGACGCUCAUGCACGAAAGCGUGGGGAGCAAACA